rnacentral:rRNA from 1 species
GACGAACGCUGGCGGCGUGCUUAACACAUGCAAGUCGAACGGAAAGGCCCUGCUUGCAGGGUACUCGAGUGGCGAACGGGUGAGUAACACGUGGGUGAUCUGCCCUGCACUUCGGGAUAAGCCUGGGAAACUGUGUCUAAUACCGGAUAGGAGCCAUUUUUAGUGUGAUGGUUGGAAAGUUUUUUCGGUGUAGGAUGAGCUCGCGGCCUAUCAGCUUGUUGGUGGGGUAAUGGCCUACCAAGGCGGCGACGGGUAGCCGGCCUGAGAGGGUGGACGGCCACAUUGGGACUGAGAUACGGCCCAGACUCCUACGGGAGGCAGCAGUGGGGAAUAUUGCACAAUGGGCGCAAGCCUGAUGCAGCGACGCCGCGUGGGGGAUGACGGCCUUCGGGUUGUAAACUCCUUUCGCUAGGGACGAAGCUUUUUGUGACGGUACCUAGAUAAGAAGCACCGGCUAACUACGUG